UACGGGGGGGGCAAGCGUUGUUCGGAAUUACUGGGCGUAAAGGGCGUGUAGGCGGUCUAUCAAGUCUGGUGUGAAAUCCCCUCGCUCAACGAGGGAACUGCGCCGGAAACUGACAGACUAGAGUACCGGAGAGGAAGGUGGAAUUCCUGGUGUAGCGGUGAAAUGCGCAGAUAUCAGGAGGAACACCGGUGGCGAAGGCGGCAUCCUGGACCGGUAUUGACGCUGAGGCGCGAAAGCCAGGGGAGCAAACGGG
rnacentral:rRNA from 1 species